rnacentral:rRNA from 1 species
AUGGUCGCCCCUGCUCUUCAUCCCGUUCAUGGUCGAAUCCGGUCGCGGGAGCAUCUGUCGGAGGCAGACGCGGGGGCGCGGGACUUGCAAGCCCAUGCUCUUCCCUGCUCCUUCCUCAAAUCCGGUCGCCGAAGUGACCGAGGAGGCGCUCGAGCUCGGUAUGCUCGUUCGGGGACGCCGCCCCCUCCCUCUCCUCCUGAUGCCGCUACCGUCACCGUCGCCGCAAUGAGUCUCUCCACCAUCUCCCGCGUGCUCGCUUGCUUGUCCCGUCCUCUAGGAUUAUCUGCUCAGGGUCCGUGUCUCAUGCGUUGCUACCUGACGUCUACUCUUGGGAGCCGGGCUUCGUCGGCCAACGGGGCCGGCAAGGUCCGAAACUGGAGAUUCCUGCUCGCCAACUCGCAGUCCCGGCGGCUGUUCUCUUACCAGUCGAAAAAGUAUUUCCUGAAGGAGAAGAAGGAGGUCCUGAAAGGGGAUGGGAGCAACAAGUCUGAAUCAAAGGGAACUUCCUUGAUCCAUCGCAUCCUCGUCAGACAGAAGCUGAGGAAACAACUAAGCCAGAAUUAG